AGCCGCAGUGAAUAGGCCCAAGCGACUGUUUACCAAAAACACAAGUCUCUGCCAAACCGAAAGGUGAAGUAUAGGGGCUGACGCCUGCCCGGUGCUGGAAGGUUAAGAGGAGUGCUUAGCGCAAGCGAAGGUACGAAUUGAAGCCCCAGUAAACGGCGGCCGUAACUAUAACGGUCCUAAGGUAGCGAAAUUCCUUGUCAGGUAAGUUCUGACCCGCACGAAAGGCGUAACGAUUUGGGCACUGUCUCAACGAGAGGCUCGGUGAAAUCAUAGUACCUGUGAAGAUGCAGGUUACCCGCGACAGGACGGAAAGACCCCGUGGAGCUUUACUGUAAUUUGAUAUUGAAUCUUGACUCCACCUGUACAGGAUAGGUGGGAGCCGAUGAAGCAUGGACGUUAGUCUAUGUGGAGGCAAUGGUGG
rnacentral:rRNA from 1 species